UAAUGGAACAUCGAUAACGCUAUUUACGAAGAUCCUGGUAUUCCUACUGGUAGUAGGUAAUCGAAGUUUUACUAUUGACCAUGAAUUGAAUACGAAACCCAUGAAUCCCUCUGAAUUGAGAUGUGUUAAUUGUGGCAUCAAUGUAAAUCAAAGGAGUAGGCAUAGUAGCCUUGAAUUAAUAGAGAUUAUGUUAGUAAUAUAACACUGGAUUGCACCUCAAGUGGUGACUGAGACCACCAGUGUGCCUUUUUUGCUGGACUCCUAGUCACUCCAAUGGGACUAAUGAUGAUUAACCUACUAAUGAUGGUCACCGUUGUCGUCUUUGUAUUAGCUGUGGAUGCUCUUUGAUGAGAACAAGAUCUCACAGGCUACGUACUGACCUAAAACGGGAAAUAUGCAUAUAAAUCAUAAUAAUAGAGAUGAUUAUGCCAUAACAGCUGCAUGGAUCUGAUGAAAUCUGCCACCCCUGUUGACAAAGAAGUGAUCGAUUGAGAGCACAUGCUCUUGAAUCACUUCAACAGUUACUUACCAGUUAUUGUUUUACCGAACUGGAAAAGAAGAUCAGAUACCCAAGGCCAUUAUUUUUUUCUAGACUAACUCACUGGAAAGAUUAUUAUUAGAUAAGAUAAGCCUUUAUGAACUGAAUUAAAUUACAUUAAUGCUAUGUACAUAAUAUUAUAUUUCAAACAAAUAAAUAAUAUUUUAGUUUUUGA